rnacentral:rRNA from 1 species
UACGUAGGGGGCGAGCGUUGUCCGGAUUUAUUGGGCGUAAAGGGCACGUAGGCGGCCAUUCAAGUCGAUCGUGAAAGCUCGGGGCUCAACCCCGAGAUUGCGGUCGAUACUGGAUGGCUAGAGGCUGGUAGGGGGGUGUGGAAUUCCCGGUGUAGCGGUGGAAUGCGCAGAUAUCGGGAGGAACACCGGUGGCGAAGGCGGCACCCUGGGCCAGUCCUGACGCUGAUGUGCGAAAGCGUGGGGAGCAAACAGG